rnacentral:rRNA from 1 species
AACGAACGCUGGCGGCAGGCUUAACACAUGCAAGUCGAACGAAGUCUUCGGACUUAGUGGCAGACGGGUGAGUAACGCGUGGGAACCUACCUUUAGGUACGGAACAACAGUUGGAAACGACUGCUAAUACCGUAUGCGCCCUACGGGGGAAAGAUUUAUCGCCGAGAGAUGGGCCCGCGUUGGAUUAGCUAGUUGGUGGGGUAAUGGCCUACCAAGGCGACGAUCCAUAGCUGGUCUGAGAGGAUGAUCAGCCACACUGGGACUGAGACACGGCCCAGACUCCUACGGGAGGCAGCAGUGGGGAAUAUUGGACAAUGGGGCAACCCUGAUCCAGCCAUGCCGCGUGAGUGAUGAAGGCCCUAGGGUUGUAAAAGCUCUUUCAGCGAGGAGGAUAAUGACGUUACUCGCAGAAGAAGCCCCGGCUAAACUUCGUGCCAGCCGCCGCGGU